rnacentral:lncRNA from 1 species
CACCAGAUAAUUAUAUGCUAGCUCUACCACAUCAGACCCAAUUUUUUCCUCUCCCACGUUUGCUUUUAACCGGAUCCAGAUAUGAGAUAGAAAACAAGGGAUAAUCAUUGUCACUCUUUUUUUUGACCAACAUGGCAUCACCAACUUAAGACUUUUCUUACUAACUUCUAAAGAUGAUAAAUAUAUAAUUUUAAUCAGGGUACCACAAUUUCUACCCUACAAGCAAACUAUCCCGGGGACCUUGAAGGGGACUUGAGCCUUUCUUUCUCGGUGCUUAUUGCUUGAUCUCCUGUUUUUUCUCCCC